rnacentral:rRNA from 1 species
AUUGAACGCUGGCGGCAGGCCUAACACAUGCAAGUCGAGCGGAGCGGCGGACGGGUGAGUAAUGUAUGGGAAUCUGCCUGGUCGUGGGGUAUAAAGUCGGGAAACGGGCGAUAAUACCGCAUACUAUCAGAUGAGCCUAGGUCGGAUUAGCUAGUUGGUGGGGUAAAGGCCUACCAAGGCGACGAUCCGUACCUGGUCUGAGAGGAUGAUCAGCCACACUGGAACUGAGACACGGUCCAGACUCCUACGGGAGGCAGCAGUGGGGAAUAUUGGACAAUGGGCGAAAGCCUGAUCCAGCCAUGCCGCGUGUGUGAAGAAGGUCUUCGGAUUGUAAAGCACUUUAAGUUGGGAGGCGUUACCAACAGAAUAAGCACCGGCUAACUUCGUGCCAGCAGCCGCGGUAAUAC